UGGAUCAGUGGCGAACGGGUGAGUAACACGUGAGCAACCUGCCCCGGACUCUGGAAUAAGCGCUGGAAACGGCGUCUAAUACUGGAUAUGACACCAAUCCGCAUGGGUAUGGUGUGGAAAGUUUUUCGGUCUGGGAUGGGCUCGCGGCCUAUCAGCUUGUUGGUGAGGUAAUGGCUCACCAAGGCGACGACGGGUAGCCGGCCUGAGAGGGCGACCGGCCACACUGGGACUGAGACACGGCCCAGACUCCUACGGGAGGCAGCAGUGGGGAAUAUUGCACAAUGGGCGAAAGCCUGAUGCAGCGACGCCGCGUGAGGGAUGACGGCCUUCGGGUUGUAAACCUCUUUCAGCAGGGAAGAAGCGAAAGUGACGGUACCUGCAGAAGAAGCACCGGCUAACUACGUGCCAGCAGCCGCGGUAAUACGUAGGGUGCGAGCGUUGUCCGGAAUUAUUGGGCGUAAAGAGCUUGUAGGCGGUUUGUCGCGUCUGCUGUGAAAAUCCGGGGCUCAACCCCGGACUUGCAGUGGGUACGGGCAGACUAGAGUGUGGUAGGGGAGACUGGAAUUCCUGGUGUAGCGGUGAAAUGCGCAGAUAUCAGGAGGAACACCGAUGGCGAAGGCAGGUCUCUGGGCCACUACUGACGCUGAGAAGCGAAAGCAUGGGGAGCGAACAGGAUUAGAUACCCUGGUAGUCCAUGCCGUAAACGUUGGGCGCUAGGUGUGGGACUCAUUCCACGAGUUCCGUGCCGCAGCUAA
rnacentral:rRNA from 1 species